CAGAGCGUAGCUAAACAGUAUAGCGUCUCCCUUACACCGAGAAGGCGCCCGUGCAAGCCGGGUCGCGCUGA
rnacentral:tRNA from 1 species